AAUUUCUUUGGACCCGGAAGCCGGUUGGGAUCAUGUGAUCCAUGACGUAGCCAGCAGUCAGCUCUAAUAACAGCAGUCAGUUUUCAACUAACUAUUUCAGUGGAAGGAGCAACAGUAAAUAUAGCAUCAGGAGAAUAAGCAAGCUAUUAAAAAAAUAAGGAAAAAUUAUUGCCUCAGCUUUUGACACUUGUCAUUGUAUAAAGCCAGAAAUCAAUCAAAAUGGCCUGGAGAUUUAAAGCUUCUAAAUAUAAGAAUUCCUGCCCGAAAUUUCCUAAAAAAGAAGACUGGAUAACUGACAUCAGUACAGGACGAUUGCUACAAUCUUUUGGGAAUCAUAUCAAGGCAAAUGCUUUCUACAUGGUAUUUAAUGUAGAUAAUUUAGGUGGUGGAGCACUGGGAAUUUUACCUUUGAAUAGCACUGGUCGGCAAGGACCUGAUCUUCCUUUGUUGUCAGCUCACUCAGAUUACGUUGCUGACUUCGAUUUCUCUCCAUUUGAUGAUAAUCUUUUAAUUACUGGAUCACAUGACUGCACUGUAAAGCUGUGGCAGUUGCCUUCUAGUUCGAAAAACCUGAAGAAUUCUUUAAAUUUGAAUUCACAAAUUGUUUGUACAGAAGAGAGAAAAAUUGAAAACGUCCUUUGGAAUCCAGCUGCUGAGGGUAUUUUAGCUGUGUCUUCCGCUGAAAGUGUUCGUAUUUAUGAUGUUUCAAGCUGCAAAAAAAGUUUAUCCCUAGACGAGCACAGUGAUAUGGUACAAGGUAUUGCUUGGAAAGGAGAUGGAUCAAUGUUAGCAACAACAUGCAAAGAUAAACUUAUUCGCACAUUGGAUCCUCGUGCUCAAACUGCAUGUCAGGAACUAAAAGGACAUGCUGGCCAGAAGGAAUCCCGUGUAUCAUGGCUUGGAAAUAAAGAUAUGUUGUUCAGCACAGGCUUUGAUUCUGUGAGACAAAGACAGCUCUUUUUAUGGGAUUUGAAAAAUCCAUCAUCACCUGUCUGUACACACUCAAUGGAUACAUCUCCUGGUGUUUUUAUACCAUUUUUUGAUGACCGAACUAACAUGUUGUUCCUUGUUGGGAAGGGAGAUAAUACACUGAGAUUUCUGGAAUAUACUGACCGGACACCACAUAUUACCGACGUGGCUGCUGAUCGUACAGAACAAAUCAAAGGAGCUGCUGUGGUCCCAAAACAAGCAUUAGAUGUCAUGAAAGGAGAGAUAAACAGACUGAUUCUUCUGAUUAAAAAUGCAAUCAUUCCAACACCUUACAUUGUUCCCAGGAAAUCCUAUAGAGAAUACCAUGCUGAUAUUUUCCCAGAAGUCCCUAAUGGGCAACCAUCUAUGCAAGCUUCUGAGUGGUUAGCAGGAGAAAACAAACCGUUGGAACUUAUGGAUCUAAAUCCAAGUAAAAGAGCACCAUUAACCCUCAGAGCUCACAAUCUUAAUGCACCAGGUUCUAAUUCUAUUACUAAUGCCAGUGACUCAGUUGAUCCUUCUAAAGAAAAGAAGUUAUUAAAAUGUGAUUCUUCUGCUGAAAAUGAAAAGAAAUCAACAGCUGAUUUGUCUAUUGAAAACAAUAAGGAAUCAACCAUAAAUUCUUGUACUGAAAACAAAAGCAAACCAGCAAAUGAUCUAUCUGAAAACAAUAAGGAAUUAACAGUAAAUUCUACUGAAAAUAACAAGGAAUCAACUGUAAAUUCUUCUACAGAAAACAGCAAGGUAAAAGGUCCAUUAACUCCAAAAAGCCAACGUCGAGCAAGUGAAACUAUUAUGCAGAAAAUUGACAGUUUGAAUGCAGCCAUAGAACUAAGUCAUUCUCCACCACCACAACGAAAAUUCCAAAAAGGCAACUGUGUUUUAGAUUCAAAAAAAUAUGAAGAGAAAGAUAAUGAUGUAUUUUCUGACAAUAAAGUUGCUGAAGAUACUAAAACUGAACAUUCUCAGCAGACUAGAAAAUCUUGUAACUCUAUGGAAGAAACUAAAAACAGCUUAUCCGAAGAAGUAAGAGAAACUAAAGAUUCAGAAAAUGAAGAUUCAAUGAAAAAUGAUAAUGAAGCUACUCCUUCAAAUUCAUCUUGCACAGAGGACAAUUCUACUGAGGCAGAUGGGAAAGCUUCUAAAAUAGAAGCUGAGUGCAAUAGUAAAAAGGACGGGAAAGAAUGUCUGUCUGAAACUCCAAAAGUUCCCAAUGGAGCAAUUGAGAAUAAAAUUUGCAAAGGUAAAGUAAAAGAAGAAACUCCAGAAAAAACUGUGCCAGCCAAAAAAUCCGUUUCCACUCCAUCACGUUUUAUAAAUAUUAGACAACUGAAAUUUAAACACCUCAAAGCUACCACACUGAACAAGGAACAUCAUAUUGAAAAUUUAAAAAAUUUAUCAAGGAACAUUCCUGGUGAGAGCGAUUUGUUUCAAGUAAAUCAAAAAAGAUGCGCAGUUCCAUUGUCUACUACUGGAGGUUGUGUUGCAAUAUUUGAGUUGAAUAAACCCUGCCGUUUACCAGAUUGUGGAAUUCCAAGUCUUCAACAUGGCACUAAUGUUACAGAUUUUGUUUGGGACCCUUUUAAUGAUCAAAGACUAGUUGUUGCCUGUGAUGAUGCUAAAAUUAGAGUAUGGAACAUUCCAGAAGGUGGCUUGAAAGACUCUGUGAACGAACCAGAAUUCAUGUUAAUUGGUCAUCAGGAAAAAAUAUAUUUUGUACGUUUCCACCCACUUGCCAAAGAUAUCCUUGCAUCAGCUUCUUAUGACAUGACUGUGAAAAUCUGGGAUUUGACAACUCAGGAAGCAGUUAUAGAGCUUAAAGGACAUACUAGCCAGAUUUUCACUUUAGAUUGGAGUCCAUGUGGCAAGAAAUGUGCUACAGUAUGUAAAGAUGGCAAAAUACGUGUUUAUGAACCUCGUGUAUCUACAGAAGCUAUUAAGGAAGGUACAGGUCCUUCCGGAAGCCGAGGAGCCAGAGUUGUAUGGACUCUAAAUGGCAAAUUCCUUGUUGCUACUGGUUUUGACAAAAUGAGCCAGCGCAAGUUAUUUUUAUAUGAUGCACAGGAAUUAGGAGCACCACUAGACAUAGUUGAAUUAGAUUCUUCUCCUGCAAUAUUGGUUCCUCAUUAUGAUGAAGACAGCUCUACAUUAUUUGUUACUGGACGGGGAGAUGGAACUAUAUUUACAUAUGAAGUAACACAUGAAGCUCCUCACUUAAAUCAACUGAGCCCCUGUCGGUUCAGUAAUCUGCACCAAGCCAUAUCUUUCUUGCCAAAGAUUGCAUGUGAUGUUAGUCAAGUGGAAUUUGCUCAUGCAUGGAGGUUGUUAUUGACACAUAUAGAACCCGUCUCCUUUAAAGUUCCCCGAGUCAAGAGUAACUUCUUUCAAGACGAUCUGUUUCCUGAUACCAGAGUGUUGUGGGAACCAGCUUUAAGUGGCUCUGAUUGGCUGAGUGGGGUAGAUGCCGAAGCUUCUAGAAUUAGUCUUAAGCCAGGCAACAUGGAAUCAUUGAGUAAAGCCCCAACUCCUUCAACUAAACAAAAAAAGUAUGACAGUACAGAUCCUGAAAUUUUCAAGACUGAUGAAAUGAAGAAAAAGGAGACUGAACUUGAGGCUGAUUGGAGCAAUGACAUCUAAGUUGGAUGUAAGAGAAGACCCAUUGGAACAAGAUUUAACUGAAGGAGUUGACUCUGAUGAAUGGGAAGAGUAAGUGAUUGGCAAUAAGCAAACUCUGAAAGAAAUUGGGAUCGCCACAGCAUCUUGUCUGUAUAUAUAUAUAUUGAAUGGAAAUUGUUAUUGUUGUUUCUGCUAUGAAUGUAUGUGUAUGAGUGUGUAUGUGUGUGUGUGUGUGUGACUAAAUGGUUUAUUUUAACUACAUUUUUGUCCUAUAUGAUGAUAUGUGCAUACAUACAAGACUAAUGAUAUAUAAACGUGUUUACUAUAAGUGGGACCAGUAUUAUUGAGAUGUCUAUAUAUAAAUAUAUAUAUAUGAGUAAAAAUAGCAUAGUUUAUAUAUUUAAGUGCAUUUUGAUAUGUAAAAUUUUGUAUGUUUGUAUAAUCAUUGAAAUUUAUAUGCUAUCAAAUAUUGUCUAUAUUCUCUUAAAGCAAAUGUUUUCUUUAUACUCUAUGGUUUCUCUUCCAAUCUUUGGAAGAGAAAUUUGAACUAUAUAACCUAAAUAUGAGCCCAUGAAUCAUUAUAACAAAUUCAUGUGAAUACAAAUUAUAUUAAAACAUGACUGUAAAAAAAAAAAAAUGUAAAUUCUUUAAUAUGAAAACGAUUGACUCAUCAACUCUUACUGAAAAAUGGAGGAAGAACUAAACAAAUUAAAUUUUUUUAACAUUUAAAAAAAAUAUGCUUACAAGUCUAUAUGUACUCAUUUGGAUUUGAAUGAGGUUCUCCCUUUUUAUUUGGUAUAUUACAAUGAUUUUCUCCCAUUGUUAAAUGAAGGUUUUUCAAUUUUUAAGGCAAAAAAUCUGCUGUUUGAUAAAUGAAAAGCUUGGUUUUACAGAGCUUGAAUUUAGGAAUGUGCGUAAAGAUAAAUUUCUACGUUAAGGGGUAAUGAGAUAAGAAUAAAUAUACCAAUAUGCUCUGCUAAUAUGGUUCUAGUUGGAAUAUAAAUAUACAUAUACAUACAUAUAUAUAUAUAUAUAAAUAUAUAUAUGUAUAUCAUCACCAUCUAAAUAUCUGAUUUUCUAUGCAAGAAGGGUUUGAAUAGUUCUGAAGUGCGGUACAUUUCCACGGAAACAAUCUUGUGUCACUUUAUGUGUGCAGCCCAAUUUUCUCAGGCAUUUUCUUUAGCUCUACUAUUACUUUCUCAGUCUUCCAUAGCCUACUCUUCUGUGGCUAACACCUACCAUCAAGUUGUUGCUUUGCCACCAUUUACCUACCUAUUGCUGCAGUCUUCUCCACUGCAUAUAUUGGUAAAUGCCAUUGAUGUUCGUUCCAUUUCUUAACCCAUUUGUAAUUGUCUCUUGCAAGCUAGAAACCUGCUUUCAAUGGACCCUGUUAAAUGUUUCUCUCUAAUUGUUGCAUGUCUUCAUCUAUCACUGCAAUUUUUAUACAUUCUUGAUGUAGUCAGACUUUCAUAGAAAGGAACAUACAUUGAUACUGAUAGUGGUUGCUGUUUCCUAAAUUGCUUCCUUUUCAUUCAUACUCUGUCCACUGGACAAUCUCUACUUCCACCUUCAUGUGUGCAUAAGCAUUCACUAAGCUUCAUUGAAUUUUAGCUUUUAUUAAAUAAAAAAAAAGUAAUCCAUUUUCUAAAUAGUUUUCUACUGACCUAACACUUUAAAAGUAACAUCUCAUAAACUUUUGGAUCACAUAUAAAUGCUUUUAUAGUGAUUCAAGGGAAGAACUGAUUUGGUUUCACAUUGCCUUAUCCAGUCCCAUGAAUAUUGGAGCUCAGAAUGUUAAGUAUUUAAUUAUGCAGUGAUCUAUAGCUUAUAAUUGUGAGCUCCAUCUCAACAUGAUACGUUAUUUUUUAAGUAUAAUUGAAUUGGGAGCUACACAUCUUUGACAUAGCAAACUGUAGUUUUUUUCUACACCUUGAAAUAAUUUUUUACAUUACCACAUAUCUGCAAGAGGAAGAUAGUCAAUUGAAUUGACUCUUGCAAAUGACUGGUAAUUGUUUCAUCAAAGCUGGAGAGAUAAUAGGCAAAAACAAUCUGUGCUAUUUGAAGUAAAGUGUUGAAAUACUUUCCAUUAAUUUGUCAGAUGAUGAUGUGCAGUACUGUGGCACAUGGAGACUAUCUCUGACUGAAAAAAAACGUGGUAGAGUGGAAUUUCCAGAACAAAGAUUGAUCUAAGUAUUUAGCAUGGGGCCUGGUUGGUAAAUCACAAUAGGGGUGUUGAAAGGAAAAGUGAGUGAUUAGGUGGAGGUGGUAUGUGACUUGGUACUUCAGAGACUGUUUUAAUUUGGUAGUGGGCCUUUUUGCAGAGUGGUCUAGAAUGUAUAUCUGUGUGUAGCAUCAGAACUGAUCCAGCAGGGCCCUUGAGAUUUAUAGAGAUUCUGCAAUUGAUCAAAGCCAAAAUAAUUUCUGGCUCUAAAGAUAAGUUGAGCACUUGCAAUGCUGUUUUGGAAAUGUAAAUGUUUUGGUCACUGAACAAUCAACAGAAAGUGUUGAGUGUAGUGGUAUUGCAGUUUCAAGGGUUUAGCAGGGUUGCUUAUGCACGAGGAGUGCUUGCUGCUUUGACAUGUGGAGUGAUUAUAUCAUCAAGCUGUUGAAGAAUAUUCUCAUUGGAAGACGUUUUUGAAGUCUGUAUAUGGAAACAAUGCAAGCCUGAUAUGAUGGGUGUAAGUUGCAUGUGGAUGACAACUGUGUGUUAAUGGUUAAUAAGGAAUCGUUUUCAUAGUUAUGAGUGCUUUUUAUUUUAAGUAACAGCAAGUAGGUCAUUGGUGUACCAAAGGAUGAGAGGAGCCAAAGGAGACAUAACCAAAUGCUAUGAGGUACCUCUGAUUUGGUAGUAUAUGAAGGGAAGAAGAAAAAAAAUGGAAGAAAUACAAUUAGAAGAGAAAGUAUAAAGAAUGACUUCCAAUGUAUGAAGUGAGAAAUGAAUAGAAUUCAUAAGAAGGAGAUCUAACUCAGAGGCUCUCAUAGAAAACAUAGUAGAAGGGCUAGCUAAUGACAAAGGUAACAUCAUUAUUUUUAUGAAAAGCAAAGACCACUACUGGUUCAUAUAGUAGAGCAAGUCGACACAUAUGUAUCUAGCUCUAUGGAAUCCAUACUAAUGACCACUGAGACAGGAAAGAGAUAAAGUAAUGAAGUAAUUUAGUUUUGUGCUCUAUCAUUUGUGCUACUCCACUGCCCUUACUUAUCAACUUGGAAACAUGCUUUUUAUCUUUUGUAUCUGUUUUCAUAAAAUAUGAUGUACAUUUUUAGAUAAGAGAGAAAAAGAAAGAUGGAAUAUUUUUUGAAGAAAUAAACCGUCUGUUCUGUGUAUAUUUUUAAAGUGCUUUCAUGAUGUAUUAACUUUGACAAAAGCUCAAUCAAGUAUGCUAAGUUGCCAGCUGUGAAAUUGAUAUUUUGAAGCCUAUUUUUAUGGAAGAUAAUGAGUUUCUAGUUUGUUUCUGCAGAAAAUUUGCCAAGUUAAUAAAAGUAUAUAUGUUCAAAAAAAUAUACAUGUAUAAAAUGCUAAUAUACGAAUGUUUUAAAUGUAACAUUUACCUUUUAUCAUCUUUAAUUCCAUUGCCAUUGUGAAUCAUCAAUUGCUACCUCAUACUACCCACCACCCACUAAAUCAGAAGUCAUAGUUGGCAAAAUCAUUCCAUCUGACAUAUCAACCAACUGAUUACUUGCUCAUAUUCUGCUCAAUAUAACACUAAAAUAAUAUCAGCAAAUUGUUCUUUGUUGAUCAGGCUGAAAUUCUUAUUAAUUCCUCUACUGUUUCCAAAAUUGACAAUUGCAUUUCCCUCUUCUUCAGUAUCUUCCAGGCAACACAAGAAAAUUCAAAAGCUUCUAAACCAUUUUACUUACACAUUCCCUGUAGUAGAAGUACAUAUUUAACACUGGUUACCAAUGCAUGAACAGGCAUAAUUUACAAAUCUUAUCUUUACUAACAAAAUGAUUAACUCCUUAUUUCACUGGCUUCAAAUAUACUCUGAGAAAAGAAAUACAGACUACUAUAAUCUCAAAAUGUAGGUCAUACUUCCACUAGAGAUUAGGGUCUCAAAUUAUCUGAGAUUUGAAAAAGAAGCUAAAUCUUUUCUAUUUCAGAAAUUAUUAUUAUUUUCUAAAUAUAAAAUAAUAUACUUUUUAGUAUCUUAUACAACCAUAUGUUUCUUGGAAACCAUUCCUAUUUCCAUUGCUAAGCAGAGCAGUAACUGUUUAAUGUUUCGUCUUCUUCAACAUUUUAAAAAUAUAUUUUUAGUGUGUUGGAGGGAGUCUAUCCAAAUUAUUUUUCUUCAAAUUAGAUUUUUAGUCAGUCAAAACAAUCGGUGUUUCUCAUCUCGAAUCUCUUUUUUUCAUAUUCCGGCAAAAAUUUUUUUAUUUACCUGAGAAAACCUGACUUUGAUGAAAACUUUCUAUAAACUAAGGUGUCAUCACUAGAAAUGUAGUUCAAGUGAAUUCACCAUCCCUGUUUUUCAUGACACAGCACCAUCGCCACCACCACCACAGCUAAUUUCUAACAUAGGUACAAGGUGGAGGGGAAAAGUCAAUUAAAUUGACUUCAGUACUAAUAAUGGUGCUUUAGCUUUCAUUCCUCCAGGGUUGAUAAAACAAACUUACCAUAGGAAGAUUUGAACUCAGGAUGUAAAUACCACAAGAUAUUUUGUCCGACUUUAACAAUUCUGCCAACCCACCUCCCUGCUGCUGCUGAUAAUAAAUAAUGAUAAUAAUGUUUCUAUCAUAGGCGCAAGGCCUGAAAUCUAAGCGGUGGUUUUAAUUAAUACUAUCAACCAAGAAUCAGUACCCGACAUACUUUAUUUUAUCAAUCCUACUACUACUAAUAAUAAAAGAUGAUGAUGAUGAUUGUGAGUUUUAUCAUACAUGCAUCAUUCUGAUUUUUCAUCUGAUUAAUAUUCAGGUAGAUAGACACACACGAUGAAAUAUAUUUUAUGUCAUCAUAUUUAUCAUUGGUAUAUGCCUUUAUUCUCCAUCUUAAUGAUACGGAAAGUUUAUAUUUCUAUUGUACAUAUUUCUACUGAAAGAAUCAAGUUGCUUUUCUUUUAUUUAAAUAGGCUGCAUAAAUUUAAUUUUAGGCUCUCAUGCCUUGUGGGGUUUUUUUUCAGCUCUCUCAUUGCCACUCACAUCACAUUUAUUAAAUACACUUAUGCAUUUAACAUAUGAACUGGUAAUUCUGCAAAUAACCUAAAUAACCAUUAUUAUUUAGAGUGUUUCACCACUGUGUUGUAUGAUUACAUAUAUUAAUAGUUGUAUAAGCACAGUCACUGCCUGAGAAAGAUUCAUGUAUAUUGUCAGUCUGUGAAAAAUAUCACUGUAUACAUUAUAUAACCAAUUUUUGGCAAUAACACAACACUAAUAUUUUUCUAAAAGCAUAUCCUAUUUCAUUUGCUCAGUCUCAGCCCCUAUUUAUCUCCAGUUUCUUUCACUCUUAUUCCAACUUCAAAGUCUUAAAUAUCCAUGCUGUAUCUGAAAUAAUCAAGCCAGGGUAUCCAUUCCUGAAUUGUUAGACCUGUUGAAAAGAAACAAUGCAAAGGAAUUUCUUUUUAGAGGUAAAAUAUAUUCAUAGUCAUAAUGGUUGUUGUUUAGUCCCAGGUCAACUCUGUUUAGACUGCCUAUGAUCAGGAGCAUUCCAACCAUGACCAUCCUAUCUUCUUAUGCUUUCAGUGUAUCUAGGACUCCCCGUGUCGUUUCUUCAAGAUGAUAGAGUGAUUUGAGGGAAAUUUGGUUGCAAUUUGCAACAAGUCAGGCAACGUCAUAGUGUUUCUAUUGUUGGCUUAUGGUUCUUAUAGUUUUUAGCAUUGGUCGUGUAUGUAUUUAAUAACCCUUACAAACCAUUUUGCUGUGCUCAGCAUUCUCAAAAUCAUUUUAAUUAUCUCAUCUACUCUUACAAUUCAACUGCUCAUUAAAUAAUUACACAGCAUCUCCAAACUGCCUAGCAUCUCUAGCUGAUACAUAAUCUCAGUUACCAUUCUUUCCUGUCAAAUUGCAUUUUAAAAAUUUUAUACACUCUUAUUCCUCUCAGUAAGGAGCUUAAUCUGGUUCUCUUCAGUUUUCUAUGAUAUAUGGUUCUGUAAUUACUUAAAUUUCAACUAUAUACUUUUAAUUCCGCUUCACUAAAAAUGUAACCCGUCACAAGUCUAUACAUUGCCCUUUUACAACAGUUUAAUCAUCAGAAUUAUUUAAUUGCUAAAUACACAGGAACAUGGGCAUGAAAUUGAAAAUUUUUCACAUUAUUUAUAUUACAUAUAGAGUUCAUUAAACCAGUCCUUAUGACAUGGCCAGUAUCUACUUUAAACAUUUAUUCUUAUUACUUUUUCUACUUAAAUUUUAUUAGCAUUUUAUAAGACUUUGAAAACUAAAUUCAAACUUUUUGAUAAUGCGAUUGCUAAGUGCAUGUAUUUUUAAAUUUAAGUGUCUUUUAGCAAUUUAAGAGGUUUUUUUUUAUCUAACCUUUCCAAUUUUGAGGUUAGAAUUCACAGGUGGGUUCACCACAUCCUUUGCAGUGCCAACUUAUGUUUUAUCAAUAUUCUAGCUUCAUGAAUAAAACAAUGAAGAAAUAUUUCAAUUCUAAGGUUUUAAAAAAAGUGUUUUUUUUUCAAUAUAAAUAAAACUUAGCUGAAAUUAACUCCAUAAACCAUGAAAUCUUUCACUAUUCCACUUUUGAGUUUAUAAAUGCAGUAGAAUAAGCAGUUUGAAGAGACAGACCUAGGCAAAUUGUAAUGAUGACAAAUCAUUCCACUAGUCUAUUGGCUAGAAUUAAAAAUAACUAAAACAGAAGAGAGGGAAAAAGAUCAAUUUUCUAAAAAUGCCUUUAACUGCCAACUGCCUUCUGAAAAUGUGCCUACAAAUUUUUUUUUACAGCAACAAUUAAAAAACAAAAUAAUUAUAAACAUUUUCAUUUCUUAUACUUUCAUUAUCUUCAACUGAAUAAAAAGUUUACCUCCAGA